AGAUGAAGAACGUAGCGAAAUGCGAUAAGUAGUGUGAAUUGCAGAAUUCAGUGAAUCAUCGAAUCUUUGAACGCACAUUGCGCCCUCUGGUAUUCCGGAGGGCAUGCCUGUUCGAGCGUCAUCAAAACUACUCAACUGUUGGUUUUUUCACCAGCACUUGGUCUUGGAAUUGGAGGUGCGCUCGCUGCGCCUCCUUUCCGAAAUUCAGUGGCGAAUUGAGCGUGCUGUAGACGUAGUAACACAUACCCGUUAGCACACGUUCACAUUCCGCCAUAACCCCCCUCUAUAUUCUAGUUUGACCUCGGAUCAGGUAGGGAUACCCGCUGAACUUAAGCAUAUCAAUAAGCGGAGGA
rnacentral:misc_RNA from 1 species